GUUGAGGUUGUGCAGCAGGCAGAGCAGAUGCUGCAGAGCAUCGACAGGAGAUCGAGGGCAGAGCAGAGUGUCAGAUAGAGCAGCUGUGGUGAGGCAUGAUAUAGCGGCUUCCACAGGAAGCAUCCAGGGGUGUCGAAGAUCCUGACACUGGCAGGCCUAGAGAGGGUCUCCUUAGGAGAUUUUGAGAGAGCUUUUAUGAGGAUAGCUUCUAGUUGAGAGAGGUAUGUAUACAGAG
rnacentral:lncRNA from 1 species